rnacentral:tRNA from 1 species
GCCUGGGUGGCUCAGUCGGUUAAGCGUCUGACUUCGGCUCAGGUCAUGAUCUCACGUUUCGUGAGUUCAAGCCCCACAUUGGGCU